rnacentral:rRNA from 1 species
AUGAACACCGAAUUCUAUUCAGUGUAUGACGUGCCGAUCGACCAGCUGCUCGGAGUACCACCUGACGAGAGUGACCUCCACGGAUGUUGGGAAGGCUUUGGAGCCAAGGGAGGCCAACUUGCAGCUCCCUAUUUUCCUUCUACUCACGAUGAGACGCCAGAUGCCACAUCGCCAGAGACGGAGUGGGCCGAUCAUACAGUGGAUGGCUUUGAAGCCAAUGGAGGCCAACUUGCAGCUCCCCACUGUCCUUCUACCCACGAUGAGGCGCCAGACGCCACGCCACCGGAGACGGAGUGCGCCACUCAUACAGCAGAUGGACCAGAGAGCGGCUGGAGGCGCAAGAGAGGCCCUCGCAAGAGAAGGGUGCUGUUGUGCACAGAUCAAUCUUGGCAUCUGGGUAACCAUUUUGGGCAAACAUCACAUAGAACCAACAAUAGCCACUGGACACCUGAAGAGGUAGCUACGCUGGUGGAUGGCGUCGAAGAUUGCGGGGUUGCACGGUGGUCUGCGAUGAAGAAGAAAUGGUUUCCAACGUCGGUCCGAACUGCGAGCAAUCUCAAGGAUAAGUGGAGAAAUCUCCUGGAAUCAUACACGGGAAAUGCCGAAAGAAGCUGCUAUCUGCAUCUUGACAAGAAGCUGAUCGAACGAAUCAAAAAGGCAGCACUCAACAACCCGUAUCCGAAACCAAGGUGCACUGAUGAAUGA